GCGAAUCACGCCAGAUUAAAAAGCAAAAAAAAAAGGUUCUGCAUGUGCACCUCCACUUCUUCCCAUUUCAAUAACCUUUUGACUACACAAACCGAAGGUUGAUGCUGUCUACCUUGAACUUUCCAUCUCAGGUUGACCACUACUACUAGUACUCCAUACAUGACCAUCCUCAUUGUUCUUCUCAUUGUCUAAGCCAGCAAAUUACCAAUAUUUCCUUCCACAAUUAAGCUUCUAAAUCUCUCGCAUUUGCAUUCAUGGCCACUCAAACACCCUCUUCAUCUACUUCCGAACAUACUAAGAUAAGAAAAAGAGGCAAUUCAUCUUGUUCGGAAGAAGAUGAAAAAAUCAUAACCUCUUCCCCAACUUCUUCCUCGACUCCUCGAUGGAAAUAUGAAGUUUUCCUUAGUUUCUAUGGCAAAGACACUCGCAUGAGCUUUACGGAUCAUCUAUAUGUUGAUUUAAAACGGAAAGGUAUUCUCGUCUUUAGGGAUGAUGAAGCACUCAAGCGAGGAAAAUGCAUUUCUCAAGAGCUUUCGCAAGCAAUUCAAGAAUCUCAAUCUGCCAUAGUCAUUUUUUCAGCAAAGUAUGCUUCUUCCGAAUGGUGCCUUAGGGAACUUGCCGAGAUCGUUGAAUGGGAGGAAAAGAAUGAUCUCAUAAUUAUUCCUAUUUUCUACCAUGUGGAUCCUUCAGACGUAAGAAAUCAAAGAGGGACUUUUAAAGAAGCUUUCGCUGCACAUGAAAAAGAUCCCAAGGUAGACAUCAAAGAGAUUGAUACGUGGAGAAAUGCUUGCAUAAAAGUCGGUAAUCUUGCCGGAGAGCACAUAAAGGGGGACAGGUACGAAUCAACAAUUAUAAAAGAAAUCGGUAGACGUAUAGCUCAUGAGUUGAAUUCUAGAUUCUCACGUCAUGAUUACAAUAAACUUGUUGCAAUAGACUCCCAUGUAGACAGAAUGAUAGAGUUACUGGAUAUGGAAUCAGAUGAUGUUCGCUUUGUAGGAAUUCAUGGGAUGGGUGGCGUUGGUAAGACAAUGCUGGCUGAAAUAAUUUAUGAUAGAGUUUCUAAUUGUCGAUUUGAAGGAAGCAGCUUUAUUUCUUGCAUUAGAGAAGAAUCUAAAGCUCGUGGUCUAGCUUCUUUACAAAAACAACUUCUUUCUAUGAUCAUGGAAGAAAAAAUACAAAUAUGGGAUCAAAACCAUGGAGAUCGGAUGAGAAAGAAGAUCCUGCAUAAUAAAAAGGUUUUUAUCGUCCUUGAUGAUGUGGAUAGUGACGAGCAACUAACGGCAUUAGCAGGGGAUCGGAAAUGGUUUGGUCCAGGGAGUAGGGUGAUCAUAACAUGCAGAGAUAGUCAUCUAUUGAGAAGAUAUGAAGUGAAUCCUAUCUAUAAGGUUGAGCAGCUUGAAAUAGCAGAAGCUUUGCAACUCUUUAGUUUGUCAGCCUUCAAGGAAACCCAUCCAAUAGAGGAUUACAUGGAUCUAUCUAUGGAUUUUGUAAAUUAUGCUCAAGGCCUUCCUUUGGCUCUUAAAGUUUUGGGUUCCUUCCUAUAUGAGAGAGAAAUAGAUGCGUGGAAAAGUGAGAAAGAUAAACUAAAAGCAUUUCCGAAUCCAAAAAUUAUGGAUGUACUUCAAAUAAGUUUUAAUGGGCUGCAGAAAUCACAAAAAGACUUAUUUUUGGAUAUGGCGUGUUAUUUCCGAGGACAGCAUGGGGUGGAUUACAUAUUUGAUGAUGACAUGGCAGAAAGUUUUGGUCAUUAUCGCAUUGAUGUUGACGUUCUCAUUGAGAAGUCCCUCUUAAGCAAAUCAGAAUAUGGAUUGUUGUCCAUGCAUGAUUUGCUAAAAGAAAUGGGCCAGGAAAUAGUUCAGCGUGAAUGCCCUCAAGAACCAGGAAAACGUAGUAGAAUCUUUUGCUUGGAGGAUCUAUAUCAAGUAUUGAAGAAUGAUGCUGGAACUGAUGCAAUUAAAGGCAUAGCCGUGUAUUCUUGUCCUGAAAUGAAACAGAGACUCAAUGCCAAAGCAUUGUCAAAAAUGACAAAAUUGAGAUUUUUUAAAUUCCAUCAUUCUCAAUCUAUAAAAUGGCAUGGAAAACCUUUAAACUACAUGCAAACCAAUGAGUUGCGAUUCAUAGAGUGGUUUGGAUAUCAUUUGAAAUCUUGGCCGAGCAGUUUCAAACCAAAAAAUCUUACUGUACUAAGGAUGUAUUCCAGCCAGAUCAAACAAUUAUGGAAGGGGUCGAUGGAUUUAGACAAUUUGAAGGAAUUAGAUAUGGGUCAUUCUGAGAAUUUGAUUGAAACUCCAGAUUUGAGUGGAGCCCCAAAUCUUGAGAUAAUAGACUUUCAAAAUUGUAGAAGUUUAUGCGAGGUCCACCCAUCCAUUAAAGAGCUCAAACAACUAAAACAAUUAUCCAUGGCUGGCACAGGAAUCAAACACCUAUGGAAGGGGACGUUGGUGGUUUUACACAAUUUGAAGAUCUUAAAUUUGAGUAAUUGUAACAACUUGAUUGAAACACCAGAUUUGACAGGAACUCCAAAUCUUGAGGAAAUAAACUUUACAGAUUGUACAAACUUGCGUGAGGUCCACCCAUCCAUCAAAGUGCUCAAGCAAAUACAAAUAAUAAGGAUAAUUGGCACUGGAAUCAAACACCUAUGGAAGGGGACGUUGGUGGUUUUACACAAUUUGAAGUUCUUAGCUUUGAGUUAUUGUAAAAACUUGAUUGAAACACCAGAUUUGACAGGAACUCCAAAUCUUGAGGAAAUAUACUUUACAGGUUGUACAAACUUGUGUGAGGUCCACCCAUCCAUCAAAGUGCUCAAACAAAUUAAAAAAAUAAUGAUAAUUGGCACUGGAAUCAAACAACUAUGGAAGGGGUCGUUAAUGGAUUUAGACAAUUUGAAGAAAUUAGAUAUGGGUCAUUCUGAGAAUUUGAUUGAAACUCCAGAUUUGAGUGGAGCCCCAAAUCUUGAGAUAAUAGACUUUCAAAAUUGUAGAAGUUUAUGCGAGGUCCACCCAUCCAUUAAAGAGCUCAAACAACUAAAACAAUUAUCCAUGGCUGGCACAGGAAUCAAACACCUAUGGAAGGGGACGUUGGUGGUUUUACACAAUUUGAAGAUCUUAAAUUUGAGUAAUUGUAAAAACUUGAUUGAAACACCAGAUUUGACAAGAACUCCAAAUCUUGAGGAAAUAGACUUUACAGGUUGUACAAACUUGUGUGAGGUCCACCCAUCCAUCAAAGUGCUCAAACAAAUUAAAAAAAUAAUGAUAAUUGGCACUGGAAUCAAACAACUAUGGAAGGGGUCGUUAAUGGUUUUACACAAUUUGAAGAAAUUACAUAUGGGUGAUUCUGAGAAUUUGAUUGAAACUCCAGAUUUGAGUGGAGCCCCAAAUCUUGAGAUAAUAUACUUUCAAAAUUGUAGAAGUUUAUGUGAGGUCCACCCAUCCAUUAAAGAGCUCAAACAACUAAAAGAAUUAUCCAUGAUUGGCACCGGAAUCAAACACCUAUGGAAGGGGACGUUGGUGGUUUUACACAAUUUAAAGAUCUUAGCUUUGAGUUAUUGUAAAAACUUGAUUGAAACACCAGAUUUGACAGGAACUCCAAAUCUUGAGGAAAUAUACUUUACAGGUUGUACAAACUUGUGUGAGGUCCACCCAUCCAUCAAAGUGCUCAAACAAAUUAAAAAAAUAAUGAUAAUUGGCACUGGAAUCAAACAACUAUGGAAGGGGUCGUUAAUGGAUUUUGACAAUUUGAAGGAAUUAGAUAUGGGUGAUUCUGAGAAUUUGAUUGAAACUUCAGAUUUGAGUGGAGCCCCAAAUCCUGAGAUAAUAGACUUUCAAAAUUGUAGAAGUUUAUGUGAGGUCCACCCAUCCAUUAAAGAGCUCAAACAACUAAAAGAAUUAUCCAUGAUUGGCACCGGAAUCAAACACCUAUGGAAGGGGACGUUGGUGGUUUUACACAAUUUGAAGAUCUUAAAUUUGAGUGAUUGUAAAAACUUGAUUGAAACACCAGAUUUGACAGGAACUCCAAAUCUUGAGGAAAUAUACUUUAUAGGUUGUACAAACUUGCGUGAGGUCCACCCAUCCAUUAAAGAGCUCAAACAACUAAAAGAAUUAUCCAUGAUUGGCACCGGAAUCAAACACCUAUGGAAGGGGACGUUGGUGGUUUUACACAAUUUGAAGAUCUUAGAUCUGACUAAUUGUAAGAACUUGAUUGAACUACCAGAUUUGACAGGAGCCCAAAAUCUUGAGGAAAUAUACAUUACAGGUUGUACAAGCUUGUGUGAGGUCCACCCAUCCAUCAAAGUGCUCAAACAAAUUCAAAAAAUAAUAAUAAUUGGCACUGGAAUCAAACAACUAUGGAAUGGGUCGUUAAUGGAUUUAGACAAUUUGAAGGAAUUAGAUAUGGGUGAUUCUGAGAAUUUGAUUGAAACUCCAGAUUUGAGUGGAGCCCCAAAUCUUGAGAUAAUAGACUUUCAAAAUUGUAGAAGUUUAUGUGAGGUCCACCCAUCCAUUAAAGAGCUCAAACAACUAAAAGAAUUAUCCAUGAUUGGCACCGGAAUCAAACAACUAUGGAAUGGGACGUUGGUGGGUUUAGACAAUUUGAAGAUCUUAGAUCUGGGUGAUUGUAAGAACUUGAUUGAAACACCAGAUUUGUCAGGAACCCCAAAUCUUGAGGAAAUAGACUUUAUAGGUUGUACAAACUUGUGUGAGGUCCACCCAUCCAUCAAAGUGCUCAAGCAAAUACAGAAAAUAAUAAUGGCUGGCACAGGAAUCAAACACCUAUGGAAGGGGACGUCAGUGGGUUUAGACAAUUUAAAGAUCUUAGAUCUGGGUGAUUGUAAGAACUUGAUUGAAAUACCAGAUUUGACAGGUGCCCAAAAUCUUGAGGAAAUAUACGUUACAGGUUGUCUAAGCUUUUGUAAGGUCCACCCAUCCAUCAAAGUGCUCAAACAAAUUCAAAAAAUAAUAAUGGCUGGCACUGGAAUCAAACAACUAUGGGAGGGGACGUUGGUGCAGGUUUUACAGAAUUUGAAGAUCUUAGAUUUGAGUAAUUGUAAGAACUUGAUUGAAAUACCAGAUUUGACAGGAGCCCAAAAUCUUGAGGAAAUAUACUUAACAGGUUGUACAAGCCUGUGUGAGGACCACCGAUCCAUGAAAGUUCUCAAGCAAAGACAAAAAAUAAAAAUGGUUGGCUAAGGGAAUCAAACAACUAUGGAAGGGGAUGUAGGUUGUAGGUUUUUCACUCGUAUAAAUACGUUUUAGAGAAUUUGAAGAUCUUAAAUCUGAAUCAAUCUAAGAACUUGUUUGAAACACCAAAUUUGAGUGGAGCCCCAAAUCCUUAGGAAAUCUAGUUUGGAGGUUGUACAAGCUUGUGUGAGGUCCACCCGUCUGUCAAAAAUCUCAAGCAACUACGAAAAAUAAUAAUCGCUGGCACUGGAAUCAAACAACUAUCGAAGGGGAACUUGGGGGUUUUAGACAAUUUGAAGAUCUUAAAACUGAGUAAUUGUCAGAACUUGAUUGAAAUACUAGAUUUGAGUGGAGCCCCAAAUCUUGAGAUAAUAGACCUUAUAGAUUGUACAAGCUUGUGUGUGGUCCACCCAUCCAUCAAAGAUCUUAAACGACUAGAAGAUUUAAGAAUGUCAGGUACCGGAAUCAGUCAACUAUGGAAAUGGACGUUGGUGGUAAAUAUUUCCCUCGUAUAAAUACGUAUUGAUCUUCUUAAUAAUCCACCUUCAUAUAUAUUUUUUCAAAUAAGUUAAUAUAUUCAUACUUAGAUCUAUUUUAAAACUACUUGUUUGUUUAUAACAUGUUUUAGACAAUUUGAAUUUCUUAAACCUAAGUAAUUGUAAGAACUUGAUUGAAAUACCAGAUCUGAGUGGAGUCCCAAAUCUUGAGAUAAUAGACCUUGCAGAUUGUACAAGAUUGUGUGAGGUCCACCCAUCCAUCAAAGAGCUCAAAUGACUAGAAGAUUUAAUAUUGUCAGGUACCGGAAUCAAACAACUAUGGAAGGGGACGUUGUGUGACGCCCCCAAAUUCCGUUUGGGACGGACAUUUGAAGCGUCGAGACAUGUAACACAAGGUUACCUGGCCCCGUUCAUGACAU